rnacentral:lncRNA from 1 species
CCUCUCCCUCUCUCUCUUUUAAAAAAUCAGCCAUUUGGGGUUUUAAGCCAUAAACGAUUUUUCUUGUUGCAGGGGAUUGCAGAGGCAAAGCUAGGCUAGGUCUUGGAGGCUGGUGUGAGGCGGUGCGGGUAAGGCAGGAGGCUGCUGGAAGACACUGGUGGAAGAAAAGCCGAAAUGGAUUCUCCGUGCCUUGGAUGGAGGAAGAGGGGGGAAGUGCGAGCUCCUUCAACUCUUUCGGUCCGGUGAGGAGUGAUCCAGCUUGGGCUGACAAGAGUCUCCGGGAGCCCUCUCGUUCAGUGCUUUUUUACCUGCCAAUCAAACUGCUACAAGACAACACCCUGAUCUGGCAUGGACCCACCGAUCCUAGAAAUUCUCCUCAAGAUCCAUUUAAAAGAAUCUGGCUGGUUGCUUUGGUCUCAGAGUGCCGACAUCUCUUACAAAACUAAGGAAGACCUCAUUUUGCCUUUGCUGGACCUCCUGUUUUGUUAGCCCUGGGCCCUGUGAGAAGCUUGCCAGGAGGUCCCUGCGCUGGAAGGACCAUGUGAGUUCAACUCAGAUGAUGGGUGGCACUAUGGUUUUAGUGACUCACACAGUGGAAAACCCUGUUCUCUUUGGAAGAUCUUAGCAACUUGUAUUUAGUGACACAACAAGGUUAGCUUGAACGGCAUCUGAAGCAUUUCCUUCUGUGGCUGUUCUGAGAAAAAGACAAGAAAAGAAAUGAUUCCUCAAUUACAUUGUGUUUUCUUUUAAAAUUAAGAUGAAUUAAUCAGUGAUACAAGCCCAUAGUCCCAGCUGGAGAGAGACAGAGGCAGGAGGAGGCUGUCAGUACCGAGGUCAUCCUGGGCCACACUGAAAGAUGCUGUUUCAGAGAAAACAAAUAACCAGCAGGGCAUGGUGGCACACACCUUUGAUCCCAGCACUCAGUAGUUCUAGGCCAUCCUGGUCUACAUAUUGAGUAACAGGAUAGUCAGGGCUAUAAAAUAGAGAGACUCUGUUUCAAAACACCAAAAACAAAACAAAACAAAACAAACAAAAAUCCUUACUGAAUACACAGAUUUAUGUGCACUCUAUUCCAGGAAGCCAGUGGUGAUUAUGAAACAGUAAAACUAGGUCAUAGCAGAACGCACAUUCAAGAUGAGCUUAGAACACUUCUCUGUCACUUCUGUAUCAUUUUUGGUGUGACAGUUACUACAUUUAUGUAGUUCAUCUUUGGGGGAAGACCUUAGAAUCAAUAUAGCAAAGAUACAUAUUUACUUCUUUAUUUAUUUUGUGCAACAGGCUCUCUCUUCCAUGCUGGCCUUGAACUCAUGAUGGAGCUGAGGUUGGUUUUGAUCUGGGAGUAAAGGCGCUGUCACUUCCAGCAGAAAACAUAAUAUUUAGAUCAAAGACAUUGUUUUCUUAUAUAGACAAUGCUUCUUUAAAUGCCAAUCAACUCCCCCUCCUCCAGGGCUUGAUGGUGUGUAUAGAAGUGCUCCUAAACACUGGGAAGAGUGAGUGGGCACAUAUCACACACCCAAGAGGUGGUGGAGGUGGGGGUGGGGGAAUCCCGGUUCUUCAGAUGAGGUGGGAGAUGAGAAAACUAAGGGUGGAUUGGAGCAACAACAGCACUGAACAUCCAUGAUUUCAUUUCACAAAAGAUAUUGUUCAGUUCUCUAGUUGGCUUAUCAUUGCUGAUGUUUAGUAGGGCUGAGACUCAAACCCAGGGUUUAACCAGGGUUAAACAAGGCUUCCACCAUACAGUCUCAUCCUUAGCCUUCUCAGUUAAAACAAAACAAAAACAAGUUAUUAUGAUUCUUAUUUAAUUUCAUGUUACAUCCAGGAACUAUUUUAAGGAAUUUUGUGUUACAAACUGUGACCAAAAAUCAAGUAGUUGUUUUCCUAAUGUCUGUACAUUUGCAAUAAGGAAUUGAAAUUGACUGUGUAAGUAUUUGCAUUGUCCAGGACUUAAUGGCAAGGUUGAAUUUGCUAUUAACAUGAAAGAGCAUUUGGUGGAUUGGCAUUUUUGUUGUUGUUGUUUUGUUUUUGCCUUUGUUUUCUUUCCCAGACAGGGUUUCCCUGUGUAACACUGUACCCUGGAGCUCACUAUGUAGACCAGGCUGGCCUCAAAUUCAGAGAUCUGUGUCUGCCUCCCAGGAGCUGGGAUUAAAGGCAUGCCUCUGGGCUUUGGUGAUUAUUUUAAUCUUAAGUAUUUAUAGCUCUAAAAUAAAGUAUUUUUCCCCUGUGUGUAGUCUUUGUUA